GUGCACAUUUCAUUGGCCUGCUCUCUUGUACGUGUGAGCAGUGUUAUUUCUUAUGUGCUAUACAAGUAGUUGAAGGUUAAUUAGCAGUAUGACUAACUAUGUAGUAAUGCUGCCAGUCUCCUUCAGACAAAU